rnacentral:rRNA from 1 species
UGAGGAAUAUUGGUCAAUGGACGAGAGUCUGAACCAGCCAAAUCGCGUGAAGGAAGACUGCCCUACGGGUUGUAAACUUCUUUUGUACAGGAAUAAAAGACAUUACGUGUAAUGUAUUGCAUGUACUGUACGAAUAAGCAUCGGCUAACUCCGUGCCAGCAGCCGCGGUAAUACGGAGGAUGCAAGCGUUAUCCGGAUUUAUUGGGUUUAAAGGGUGCGCAGGCGGGAUUUUAAGUCAGCGGUGAAAUUUUCAGGCUCAACCUGAACACUGCCGUUGAAACUGGGAUUCUUGAGUAUGGAUGAAGUAGGCGGAAUUCGUUGUGUAGCGGUGACAUGCUUAGAUAUAACGAGGAACUCCGAUUGCGUAGGCAGCUUACUAAGCCAUAACUGACGCUCAAGCACGAAAGCGUGGGGAUCAAACA